rnacentral:rRNA from 1 species
UACAGAGGGUGCAAGCGUUAAUCGGAAUUACUGGGCGUAAAGCGCGCGUAGGCGGCUAAGUUAAGUCGGGUGUGAAAGCCCCGGGCUCAACCCUGGGAAUUGCAUUCGAUACUGAAUUGGCUAGAGUAUGAGAGAGGGAGGUAGAAGUUCCACGUGUAGCGGUGAAAUGCGUAGAUAUGUGGAGAAUACCGGUGGCGAAAGGCGGCCUCCUGGGCUUAAUACUGACGCUGAG